AUGAAGUGCUUUGAGAGACUAGUCAAGGAUCAUCAUAUCACCUCCUCCCUACCUGAUACCCUAGACCCACAACAAUUUGCUUACCGCCCCAAUAGGUCCACAGACGAUGCAAUCGCCAUCACACUGCACACUGCCCUAUCCCAUCUGGACAAGAAGAAUACAUAUGUAAGAAUACUGUUCAUUGACUACAGCUCAGCAUUUAACAUCAUAGUACCCUCCAAACUCGUCAUUAAGCUUGAGACCCUGGGUCUCGACCCAACUCUGUGCAACUGGAUCCUGGACUUUUUGACGGGCCGCCCCCAGAUGGUGAAGGUAGGAAACAACAUCUCCACCCUGCUGAUCCUCAACACUGGGGCCCUGCAAGGGUGCGGUCUCAGCCCUCUCCUGUACUCCCUGUUCCCCCAUGACUGCGUGGCCAUGCACAACUCCAACUCAACCAUCAAGUUUGCAGACGACGCUACAGUGGUAGGCUUGAUUACCAACAACGACGAGACGGCCUACAGGGAGGAGGUGAGGGCCCUCGGAGUGUGGUGUCAGGAAAAUAACCUCUCACUCAAGGUCAACAAAACAAAGGAGGUGAUUGUGGACUUCAGGAAACAGCAGAGGGAGCACCCCCCCAUCCACAUCGACAGAACAGAAGUGGAGAAGGUGGAAAAUUUUAAGUUCCUCAGCGUACACAUCACGGACAAACUGAAAUGGUCCACCCACACAGACAGCGUGGUGAAGGCGGCGCAACAUCGCCUCCUCAACCUCAGGAGGCUGAAGAAAUUUGGCUUGUCACCUAAAACACUCACAAACUUUUACAGAUGCAUAAUCAAGAGCAUCCUGUCGGGCUGUAUCACCGCCUGGUAUGGCAACUGCACCGCCCUCAUCCGCAAGGCUCUCCAGAGGGUAGUGCUGUCUGCACAACACAUCGCCGGAGGCAAACCACCUGCCCUCCAGGACACCUCCACCACCCGAUGUCACAGGAAGGCCAAAAAGAUAAUCAAGGACAACAACCACCUGAGCCACUGCCUGUUCACCCCCCUAUCAUCUAGAAGGCGAGGUCAGUACAGGUGCAGUGAAGCUGGGACCGAGAUACUGAAAAAACAGCUUCUAUCUCACCGCCAUCAUCCUGUUAAACAGCCAUCACUAACAUAG
rnacentral:lncRNA from 1 species